rnacentral:rRNA from 1 species
GACGAACGCUGGCGGCGUGCUUAACACAUGCAAGUCGAACGGAAAGGCCCUGCUUUUGUGGGGUGCUCGAGUGGCGAACGGGUGAAUAACACGUGAGUAACCUGCCCUUGACUUUGGGAUAACUUCAGGAAACUGGGGCUAAUACCGGAUAGGAGCUCCUGCUGCAUGGUGGGGGUUGGAAAGUUUCGGCGGUUGGGGAUGGACUCGCGGCUUAUCAGCUUGUUGGUGGGGUAGUGGCUUACCAAGGCUUUGACGGGUAGCCGGCCUGAGAGGGUGACCGGCCACAUUGGGACUGAGAUACGGCCCAGACUCCUACGGGCGGCAGCAGUGGGGAAUAUUGCACAAUGGGCGGAAGCCUGAUGCAGCAACGCCGCGUGCGGGAUGACGGCCUUCGGGUUGUAAACCGCUUUCGCCUGUGACGAAGCGUGAGUGACGGUAAUGGGUAAAGAAGCACCGGCUAACUACGUG